GACGAACGCUGGCGGCGUGCUUAACACAUGCAAGUCGAGCGGUAAGGCCCUUUCGGGGGUACGACGAGCGGCGAACGGGUGAGUAACACGUGGGUGACCUGCCCUCAGCUCUGGGAUAAGCCUGGGAGACCGGGUCUAAUACUGGAUAUGACUCCAUGACGCAUGUUGUGGGGUGGAAAGCCUUGUGCGGCUGAGGAUGGGCCCGCGGCCUAUCAGCUUGUUGGUGGGGUGAUGGCCUACCAAGGCGACGACGGGUAGCCGGCCUGAGAGGGCGACCGGCCACACUGGGACUGAGACACGGCCCAGACUCCUACGGGAGGCAGCAGUGGGGAAUCUUGCGCAAUGGGCGAAAGCCUGACGCAGCGACGCCGCGUGAGGGAUGACGGCCU
rnacentral:rRNA from 1 species